AGCUCCAAUAGCGUAUAUUAAAGUUGUUGCAGUUAAAAAGCUCGUAGUUGGAUUUCUGUUUUGAAUUUCCGGUCCGUUUCAAUGAAAUGUGUACUAGGAGAUUUGAUUCAUUUAUUGUGAGGACCCUUGACUGGCAUUAAGUUGUCUGGUUUUGUGGACUUGCAUCGUUUACUGUGAAAAAAUUAGAGUGUUUAAAGCAGGCUUUCGCUUUCGAAUACAUUAGCAUGGAAUAAUAAGAUACGACACUGGUGGUCUAUUUUGUUGGUUUGCACACCAGAGUAAUGAUUAAUAGGGACAGUUGGGGGUAUUCGUAUUCCUGUGGAAGAGGUGAAAUUCUUGGAUCACAGGAAGACGAUCUUAGGCGAAAGCAUUUACCAUGGAUGUUUUCAUUAAUCAAGAA
rnacentral:rRNA from 1 species